rnacentral:snoRNA from 1 species
GAGAUAUGAUGAUGAACAAUUUGGUCCGUGUUUCAGAUUAACCGUGACCGAUAAACCAUAACCAACCUCUGAUCUC